rnacentral:tRNA from 1 species
GCCGAGGUGGCGGAACUGGUAGACGCGCCAGACUCAAAAUUUGGUAAUGGCAACAUUGUGCGAGUUCGACUCUCGCCCUCGGCACCA